CAUUGAUCGAUAUGACUCA
rnacentral:miRNA from 1 species